GGAGGUCAAUUAUAAACUGAUCUCCAUGUGGUAUAGGACCCCGGUUGCCCUACAGAAGAUUUACCCAGAGGCGUCCCCACUCUGCUGGAGAUGUCAAGAUGCGAGAGGUACCAUAGUACACUUAUGGUGGGAAUGCCAUGCCAUCGCACAAUACUGGGAUCAUAUCCACUCCGAAAUAAAGGAGAUCCUGGGGGCUGACACAG